CCUACGGGUGGCUGCAGUGAGGAAUAUUGCGCAAUGGGGGCAACCCUGACGCAGCAACGCCGCGUGAGUGAGGAAGGUUUUCGGAUUGUAAAGCUCUGUCGAGCGGAAAGAAAUGCAUUAUGGCUAAUAUCCAUAGUGCUUGACGGUACCGCUAAAGGAAGCACCGGCUAACUCCGUGCCAGCAGCCGCGGUAAUACGGGGGGUGCAAGCGUUGUUCGGAAUCAUUGGGCGUAAAGCACGUGUAGGCGGUGAAAUCCCUGGGCUUAACCCAGGAAGUGCAUUUGAAACUGUCUAGCUAGAGUAAGGGAGAGGAAAGUGGAAUUCCUGGUGUAGAGGUGAAAUUCGUAGAUAUCAGGAGGAACACCGGUGGCGAAGGCGACUUUCUGGCCCUAUACUGACGCUGAGACGCGAAAGCGUGGGUAGCAAACAGGAUUAGAUACCCCUGUAGUC
rnacentral:rRNA from 1 species